rnacentral:misc_RNA from 1 species
UUUCGAUACUGCGUAGCCAAUACCUUUCCAAAUAAACAAGAUAUAAAUGAGCUAAUUAGACCAUGAAUUACUGGUAAUUGUGCUUUUAGCAGAAAAUGAGACCAACCCAUCAAUCAAAUUAUGUUUUAAAGGGAAGAAAAAAUAAGAUGAUGAAUUGAAAGUGACAAGAAGUGAAAGAAUAUGAAACCUGCCUGUCCAGGUUUAGUGCCAUCAAG